rnacentral:rRNA from 1 species
CAGUAGCCGCGGUAAUACGGAGGGUGCAAGCGUUAAUCGGAAUUACUGGGCGUAAAGCGCACGCAGGCGGUCUGACAAGUCAGAUGUGAAAUCCCCGGGCUUAACCUGGGAACUGCAUUUGAAACUGUCAGGCUGGAGUCUUGUAGAGGGGGGUGGAAUUCCAGGUGUAGCGGUGAAAUGCGUAGAGAUCUGGAGGAAUACCGGUGGCGAAGGCGGCCCCCUGGACAAAGACUGACGCUCAGGUGCGAAAGCGUGGGGAGCAAACAGGAUUAGAGACCCGAGUAGUCCCUGUCUCUUAUAC